CACUCUUGAUCGUUCUCUUGGAUUCUCCAUCUUUACUCGUGCGUACUUACAAGAAAACGCAACGCAAUCAAUGAUGAGGAUUCAAGAGUUGAAGAAUUGAUUAGGAUGGCUUAGAAACCCACAUUACAAUAAACUAUGUUUGGUGUUUGUUAUUUCCCUUUUAUGACAUUUUGUAUGAAACUUAGCAAUUUUAAUAAAUGAAAUUUAAUUAUAUUGUCA